AUGCCUCGUCAUCUAAUUAGUGACGCGCAUGAAUGGAUUAACGAGAUUCCUACUGUCCCUAUCUACUAUCUAGCGAAACCACAGCCAAGGGAACGGGCUUGGAAUAAUUAGCGGGGAAAGAAGACCCUGUUGAGCUUGACUCUAGUCUGGCAGUGUAAGGAGACAUAAGAGGUGUAGCAUAAGUGGGAGAUAUAUUAGUUUCGGCUAAAUAUAUCAAAAAUGAAAUACCACUACUCUUAUUGUUUCCUUACUUACUUGAUAAAAUGGAACGUGUAUCAUUCACUUAGCCAUUACACGGAUAUAUUUAUAUAUUUUAUGGUAUUUUGUUUUGAUGCGAGCUUCUUGUUUAAAGUACCAAGAGUUUGUUAUAUACACCAAACAAAUUACAAUUAAAUUUGCUUUCCAUUAAUAAUGGUUUGUUAAAUAUUAAUUGAAUUUGGUAUAACUAUUAUACUCAGGUAUGAUCCAAUUCAAGGACAUUGCCAGGUGGGGAGUUUGACUGGGGCGGUACAUCUCUCAAAUAAUAACGGAGGUGUCCCAAGGCCAGCUCAGUGCGGACAGAAACCACACAUAGAGCAAAAGGGCAAAUGCUGACUUGAUCUCGGUGUUCAGUACAUACAGAGACAGCAAAAGCUCGGCCUAUCGAUCCUUUUGGUUUAAAGAGUUUUUAACAAGAGGUGUCAGAAAAGUUACCACAGGGAUAACUGGCUUGUGGCG
rnacentral:rRNA from 1 species